GGUGGUCAAAUCUUAUAGUUCAACUAACAAGAAACACAUAUUUCAUUUUGUUUAGAGGUCUUAGAGAUGCCUAUGUGAGCUUUAGAUUUGUUUCAAAAAACCAAGAAGUACUGUAGCCUUCAAAACAUUUGAUUAUCACGACACAAACGACACGGCAGCUCAUGGUUUGGACGAUGGGACGAUCGCACCUUCUAAUAAAAUUAAUUAAACGAAAAAAAAUUAAUUGUAUCAUAUUCUUAGUUUUUCAUUUUUUAUUAAAAAUGCAAAUUUUUAAAUAAUAAAAUAGUUAUAAAUUAUAAUACAUUUGUCUAUUAUAUUUGUUUCUCCCAGAUACCAGGAGCAUAUGGGUACGCAUGUUCACACGAGCUGUGUUUGGACAACUGGCAGCGUCGUCCGACCAAUAUUCUGAAUACACAUGUAUAAACGAGGUGCUGCAAUCGUGUGCGUGCGGAAUCUAGAAGAAGGAAUUUUCGAAACUCUGAUUCAAAACAUUGUGCCCAUAGUUGUAUCGAAGAUUAUGUAUUAAGACAUAUUUAUAAACGGCAACUAUUGAAUCUAAUUAUUAUAAUUUAUGCUAAUCAUAAAUAA